rnacentral:rRNA from 1 species
AAUCAUGUAAGAUUUUAAAAGUCGAACAGACUUAAAUACUUAGAUUUCUUCACCUAAAUUUUAUCUUAAUUCAACAUCGAGGUCGCAAACAUUUUUAUCAAUAUGAUCUUUCCAAAAAUAUUACGCUGUUAUCCCUAAGGUAAUUAAUUCUAUAUUUUAAACUUAUAAUAAGAAAAAUCAUUAAUUUAUGUUUUUAUUAAUUAAAGUUUUAUUAAUUUAAUUAUCCCCCCAAUAAAAUAUAAAAUAUAUAAAUUUAUUUAAUAUUUACAUACAUAUAUAUAAUUAUAUAUUAUUAUAUAAAAUUCUAUAGGGUCUUCUCGUCCCAUAAAAUAAUUUAAGUAUUUUUACUUAAAAUAAAAUUUAUUUUUUUUAAUUUGAAACAGUAUAAAUUUCAUCAAUUCCUUCAUCCAAGUCUACAAUUAAUAAACAAUUUAUUAUGCUACCUUUGCACAGUCAAUUUACUGCAGCUAUUUAAAUUUAUAUUCAUUGAGCAGAAACAAUCUUAAAUUAUAA